rnacentral:rRNA from 1 species
GACGAACGCUGGCGGCGUGCUUAACACAUGCAAGUCGAACGGAAAGGCCCUGCUUUUGUGGGGUGCUCGAGUGGCGAACGGGUGAGUAACACGUGAGUAACCUGCCCUUGACUUUGGGAUAACUUCAGGAAACUGGGGCUAAUACCGGAUAGGAGCUCCUGCUGCAUGGUGGGGGUUGGAAAGUUUCGGCGGUUGGGGAUGGACUCGCGGCUUAUCAGCUUGUUGGUGGGGUAGUGGCUUACCAAGGCUUUGACGGGUAGCCGGCCUGAGAGGGUGACCGGCCACAUUGGGACUGAGAUACGGCCCAGACUCCUACGGGAGGCAGCAGUGGGGAAUAUUGCAUAAUGGGCGGAAGCCUGAUGCAGCAACGCCGCGUGCGGGAAGACGGCCUUCGGGUUGUAAACCGCUUUCGCCUGUGACGAAGCGUGAGUGACGGUAAUGGGUAAAGAAGCACCGGCUAACUACGUG